CUCAGGGAGGUAGUGACAAGAAAUAACAACACUGGAAAUUUUAUUUCUAGUGAUUGGAAUGAUGGGAAUUUAAACCCCUUUCAGAGUAACAAUUGGAGGGCAAGUCUGGUGCCAGCAGCCGCGGUAAUUCCUGCUCCAAUAGCGUAUAUUAAAGUUGUUGCAGUUAAAAAGCUCGUAGUUGGAUGUCUGCUGGAAGCAAUCAGUCCGCCCUAUUUGUAGGGUGUGCACUUGAUGAAUUCUGGCAUCUAUGUCCUAAUGUGAUAGAUACGGCGGUGUAUAUGGGUUAAUCCUAUAUACCCGUUUUUGUAUAUUAUAUUGGGAUAAUACCGUUACUUUGAGAAAAUUAGAGUGUUUGAAGCAGGCUAAUUGCCUUGAAUACUGCAGCAUGGAAUAACAAUAUAGGAUUUCGGUUCUAUUUUGUUGGUUUCUAGGACUGAAAUAAUGAUUAAUAGGGACAGUUGGGGGCAUUCGUAUUUAACUGUCAGAGGUGAAAUUCUUAGAUUUGUUAAAGACGAACUACUGCGAAAGCAUUUGCCAAAGAUGUUUUCAUUAAUCAAGAACGAAAGUUAGGGGCUCGAAGACGAUCAGAUACCGUCGUAGUCUUAACCAUAAACUAUGCCGACUAGAGAUAGGAAAAUGUCAUUUUUCUGACUU
rnacentral:rRNA from 1 species